rnacentral:rRNA from 1 species
CAAUAGCGUAUAUUAAAGUUGUUGCGGUUAAAAGCUCGUAGUUGGAUUUCUGGGAGAGUGCCAAUGUCCGCCGAAGUGCGUGCGCAGCGGCGCUCUUUCAUCCUUCUGUUAACGGCUCUCGGCAUUCAUUUGCUGGUGUCGGGCUCAGAUAUUUUACCUUGAGAAAAUUAGAGUGUUUCAGGCAGGCUAGGCCGGAAUACAUUAGCAUGGAAUAAUGGAAUAGGACUACGGUCUCUUUGUUGGUUUGAGGGACUGCAGUAAUGAUUAAUAGGGAUAGUUGGGGGCGAUUAGUAUUUAAUUGUCAGAGGUGGAAUUCUCGGAUUGUUAAAGAACUAACUUAUGCGAAAGACAUUUGUUCAAGG